rnacentral:rRNA from 1 species
UACGGAGGGUGCAAGCGUUGUCCGGAUUCAUUGGGCGUAAAGAGCGUGUAGGCGGCCAGGUAGGUCGGUUGUGAAAACUGGAGGCUCAACCUUCAGAGGUCGACCGAAACCAUCUGGCUAGAGUCCGGGAGAGGAGAGUGGAAUCCUGGUGUAGCGGUGAAAUGCGCAGAUAUCGGGAGGAACACCAAUGGCGAAGGCAGCUCGCUGGGACGUGACUGACGCUGAGACGCGAAAGCGUGGGGAGCAAACAGG